rnacentral:rRNA from 1 species
CACGUAGGGGGCAAGCGUUGUCCGGAUUUAUUGGGCGUAAAGAGCUCGUAGGCGGUUUCGUAAGUCGGGUGUGAAAACUCUAGGCUCAACCUAGAGACGCCACCCGAUACUGCGAUGACUAGAGUCCGGUAGGGGAGUGUGGAAUUCCUGGUGUAGCGGUGAAAUGCGCAGAUAUCAGGAAGAACACCCGUGGCGAAGGCGGCUCUCUGGGACGGUACUGACGCUGAGACGCGAAAGCGUGGGGAGCGAACAGG